rnacentral:rRNA from 1 species
ACACAUGCAGUCGAGCGGUAGCACAGAGAGCUUGCUCUCGGGUGACGAGCGGCGGACGGGUGAGUAAUGUCUGGGAAACUGCCUGAUGGAGGGGGAUAACUACUGGAAACGGUAGCUAAUACCGCAUAACGUCGCAAGACCAAAGUGGGGGACCUUCGGGCCUCAUGCCAUCAGAUGUGCCCAGAUGGGAUUAGCUAGUAGGUGGGGUAAUGGCUCACCUAGGCGACGAUCCCUAGCUGGUCUGAGAGGAUGACCAGCCACACUGGAACUGAGACACGGUCCAGACUCCUACGGGAGGCAGCAGUGGGGAAUAUUGCACAAUGGGCGCAAGCCUGAUGCAGCCAUGCCGCGUGUAUGAAGAAGGCCUUCGGGUUGUAAAGUACUUUCAGCGAGGAGGAAGGCAUUAAGGUUAAUAACCUUGGUGAUUGACGUUACUCGCAGAAGAAGCACCGGCUAACUCCGUGCCAGCAGCCGCGGUAAUACGGAGGGUGCAAGCGUUAAUCGGAAUUACUGGGCGUAAAGCGCACGCAGGCGGUCUGUCAAGUCGGAUGUGAAAUCCCCGGGCUCAACCUGGGAACUGCAUUCGAAACUGGCAGGCUAGAGUCUUGUAGAGGGGGGUAGAAUUCCAGGUGUAGCGGUGAAAUGCGUAGAGAUCUGGAGGAAUACCGGUGGCGAAGGCGGCCCCCUGGACAAAGACUGACGCUCAGGUGCGAAAGCGUGGGGAGCAAACAGGAUUAGAUACCCUGGUAGUCCACGCCGUAAACGAUGUCGACUUGGAGGUUGUGCCCUUGAGGCGUGGCUUCCGGAGCUAACGCGUUAAGUCGACCGCCUGGGGAGUACGGCCGCAAGGUUAAAACUCAAAUGAAUUGACGGGGGCCCGCACAAGCGGUGGAGCAUGUGGUUUAAUUCGAUGCAACGCGAAGAACCUUACCUACUCUUGACAUCCAGAGAACUUAGCAGAGAUGCUUUGGUGCCUUCGGGAACUCUGAGACAGGUGCUGCAUGGCUGUCGUCAGCUCGUGUUGUGAAAUGUUGGGUUAAGUCCCGCAACGAGCGCAACCCUUAUCCUUUGUUGCCAGCGGUUCGGCCGGGAACUCAAAGGAGACUGCCAGUGAUAAACUGGAGGAAGGUGGGGAUGACGUCAAGUCAUCAUGGCCCUUACGAGUAGGGCUACACACGUGCUACAAUGGCAUAUACAAAGAGAAGCGACCUCGCGAGAGCAAGCGGACCUCAUAAAGUAUGUCGUAGUCCGGAUUGGAGUCUGCAACUCGACUCCAUGAAGUCGGAAUCGCUAGUAAUCGUAGAUCAGAAUGCUACGGUGAAUACGUUCCCGGGCCUUGUACACACCGCCCGUCACACCAUGGGAGUGGGUUGCAAAAGAAGUAGGUAGCUUAACCUUCGGGAGGGCGCUACCACU